rnacentral:rRNA from 1 species
UGAGGAAUAUUGGUCAAUGGGCGAGAGUCUGAACCAGCCAAAUCGCGUGAAGGAAGACUGCCCUACGGGUUGUAAACUUCUUUUGUACAGGAAUAAAAGACAUUACGUGUAAUGUAUUGCAUGUACUGUACGAAUAAGCAUCGGCUAACUCCGUGCCAGCAGCCGCGGUAAUACGGAGGAUGCGAGCGUUAUCCGGAUUUAUUGGGUUUAAAGGGUGCGCAGGCGGGAUUUUAAGUCAGCGGUGAAAUUUUCAGGCUCAACCUGAACACUGCCGUUGAAACUGGGAUUCUUGAGUAUGGAUGAAGUAGGCGGAAUUCGUUGUGUAGCUGUGACAUGCUUAGAUAUAACGAGGAACUCCGAUUGCGUAGGCAGCUUACUAAGCCAUAACUGACGCUCAAGCACGAAAGCGUGGGGAUCAAACA